rnacentral:rRNA from 1 species
GAUGAACGCUGGCGGCGUGCCUAAUACAUGCAAGUCGAGCGAACGGACGAGAAGCUUGCUUUUCUGAUGUUAGCGGCGGACGGGUGAGUAACACGUGGAUAACCUACCUAUAAGACUGGGAUAACUUCGGGAAACCGGAGCUAAUACCGGAUAAUAUUUUGAACCGCAUGGUUCAAAAGUGAAAGACGGUCUUGCUGUCACUAUUAGAUGGAUCCGCGCUGCAUUAGCUAGUUGGUAAGGUAACGGCUUACCAAGGCAACGAUGCAUAGCCGACCUGAGAGGGUGAUCGGCCACACUGGAACUGAGACACGGUCCAGACUCCUACGGGAGGCAGCAGUAGGGAAUCUUCCGCAAUGGGCGAAAGCCUGACGGAGCAACGCCGCGUGAGUGAUGAAGGUCUUCGGAUCGUAAAACUCUGUUAUUAGGGAAGAACAUAUGUGUAAGUAACUGUGCACAUCUUGACGGUACCUAAUCAGAAAGCCACGGCUAACUACGUG